rnacentral:rRNA from 1 species
GGUUAAGUUAGAAAGGGCGCACGGUGGAUGCCUUGGCACUAGGAGCCGAUGAAGGACGGGACGAACACCGAUAUGCUUCGGGGAGCUGUAAGCAAGCUUUGAUCCGGAGAUUUCCGAAUGGGGAAACCCACCACUCGUAAUGGAGUGGUAUCCAUAUCUGAAUUCAUAGGAUAUGAGAAGGCAGACCCGGGGAACUGAAACAUCUAAGUACCCGGAGGAAGAGAAAGCAAAUGCGAUUCCCUGAGUAGCGGCGAGCGAAACGGGAUUAGCCCAAACCAAGAGGCUUGCCUCUUGGGGUUGUAGGACACUCUGUACGGAGUUACAAA